rnacentral:rRNA from 1 species
GAUGAACGCUGGCGGCGUGCCUAAUACAUGCAAGUCGAGCGAACAGAUGAGGAGCUUGCUCCUCUGACGUUAGCGGCGGACGGGUGAGUAACACGUGGAUAACCUACCUAUAAGACUGGGAUAACUUCGGGACACCGGAGCUAAUACCGGAUAAUAUAUUGAACCGCAUGGUUCAAUAGUGAAAGACGGUUUUGCUGUCACUUAUAGAUGGAUCCGCGCCGCAUUAGCUAGUUGGUAAGGUAACGGCGUACCAAGGCAACGAUGCGUAGCCGACCUGAGAGGGUGAUCGGCCACACUGGAACUGAGACACGGUCCAGACUCCUACGGGAGGCAGCAGUAGGGAAUCUUCCGCAAUGGGCGAAAGCCUGACGGAGCAACGCCGCGUGAGUGAUGAAGGUGUUCGGAUCGUAAAACUCUGUUAUUAGGGAAGAACAAAUGUGUAAGUAACUAUGCACGUCUUGACGGUACCUAAUCAGAAAGCCACGGCUAACUACGUG